AGAGGCAGGAUGCUCUGGCUGAUGCUUCUAGUUUCCCCAGACCGGAAGCAGUCAUAGCCGGAAGAGGCUGCCGGGGAGAUAAGAAAUGAGCAAUCAGAGAGAAAGAGCAAGGCAGGAGGAGGGUGGGGAGGCGAGCAGGUUGUCCCACCCAAGGCGACCCUGUGACUUUCUUGGGGAAGCAGCACCCCCACAAGGACCUGGCCUGACCCGGGAAGCUGAGGGCCUGCCCUUCAAAGUGACACCCUCGGGGCUGGGGAUUUAGCUCAGCGGCACAGCGCCUGCCUGACAAGCGCGAGGUGCUGCAAUAAAUCAUAUCAGCACCCUGCCUCAUAGAUCUGGAACUAGACCCGGAACUAGAACUGUAUAACCAUUCUCCCCUCCUGCCCUUCAGGGUCAGUGCUCGGUCAUGUACUGGGUGCCCAUCACCAG